rnacentral:rRNA from 1 species
UACGUAGGUGGCAAGCGUUGUCCGGAUUUAUUGGGUUUAAAGGGUGCGUAGGCGGCUUUGUAAGUCAGUGGUGAAAUAUGGCAGCUUAACUGUCAGGGUGCCAUUGAUACUGCGGAGCUUGAGUACAGAUGAGGUAGGCGGAAUUGACGGUGUAGCGGUGAAAUGCUUAGAUAUCGUCAAGAACACCUAUAGCGAAGGCAGCUUACUAGGCUGUAACUGACGCUGAGGUGCGAAAGCGUGGGGAGCAAACAGG